rnacentral:pre_miRNA from 1 species
UCUUCAUUUCACGUGCUCUCUCCGGUCAGAAAGACGAGACAGUGUGUGAAAUGAAGAGA